AUGCCAUGAUGAAGACCCCUUCUGAGUAGUUCUUUGAAUCUUUCCCAAACCUCAUACAAACUUUCAUCUUCAAGUUGAUAAAAAGAAGUGAUCGCAUUCCGUAAUUUU
rnacentral:snoRNA from 1 species